rnacentral:piRNA from 1 species
UGGGGAAACUGGAUUGAAUCUACC